UACGAAGGGGGCUAGCGUUGUUCGGAUUUACUGGGCGUAAAGCGCACGUAGGCGGACUUUUAAGUCAGGGGUGAAAUCCCGGGGCUCAACCCCGGAACUGCCUUUGAUACUGGGAGUCUUGAGUAUGGUAGAGGUGAGUGGAAUUCCGAGUGUAGAGGUGAAAUUCGUAGAUAUUCGGAGGAACACCAGUGGCGAAGGCGGCUCACUGGACCAUUACUGACGCUGAGGUGCGAAAGCGUGGGGAGCAAACAGG
rnacentral:rRNA from 1 species